GGUGCUGUAGCUCAGUGGUAGAGCUCUUGCCUAGCAUGUGUGAUCCACUGGGUUUGAUCCUCAGCACUG
rnacentral:tRNA from 1 species